CAAAACCUUUGAGAACCUUUUUACUGGACUGAGGAGGCUGAAGGUUUCCCACUGCAGGCAGAACAGACUCUGUUGGAAGGACUAAAGGUGACUGCAGGUUUUUACCAACAUGGAAAGACCAGACUCUCCUGAGCCUGAGACCAGACCCAGAUCUCCAGAGAAAGACCGUCCUGACUUUAAAAGCAGGAAACUGACUCC